AGCAGCCGCGGUAAUUCCAGCUCCAAUAGCGUAUAUUAAAGUUGUUGCAGUUAAAAAGCUCGUAGUUGAAUUUCGGGAUCAGUUGAUCGGUCGUGCCUCGGUACGUACUGGUCAAAUUGAUUCCUACCUUCUGACGAACCACGAUGUCAUUAAUUUGGUGUCGCGGGAAAUCAGGACUGUUACUUUGAAAAAAUUAGAGUGUUUAAAGCAGGCUCGCGCUUGAAUACAUUAGCAUGGAAUAAUGAAAUAGGACGUUUGAUUCUAUUUUGUUGGUUUCUAGGAUCGACGUAAUGAUUAAUAGGGAUAGUUGGGGGCAUUAGUAUUCAAUUGUCAGAGGUGAAAUUCUUGGAUUUAUUGAAGACUAACUACUGCGAAAGCAUUUGCCAAGGAUGUUUUCAUUAAUCAAGAACGAAGUUAGGGGAUCGAAGACGAUCAGAUACCGUCGUAGUCUUAACCAUAAACUAUGCCGACUAGGGAUCGGAUGAUGUUAAUUUUUUAAUGUACUCAUUCGGC
rnacentral:rRNA from 1 species